CUUCCCCUUACGGGAGGCAGCAGUAGGGAAUCUUUGGCAAUGGGCGAAAGCCUGACCGAGCAACGCCGCGUGAAUGAAGAAGGCCUUCGGGUUGUAAAAUUCUGUUAUAAGGGAAGAAAGGUGAUAGGAGGAAAUGACUAUCAAUUGACGGUACCUUAUGAGAAAGCCACGGCUAACUACGUGCCAGCAGCCGCGGUAAUACGUAGGUGGCAAGCGUUAUCCGGAAUUAUUGGGCGUAAAGAGCACGCAGGUGGUUAAUUAAGUCUGAUGUGAAAGCCCACGGCUUAAC
rnacentral:rRNA from 1 species